rnacentral:rRNA from 1 species
CGGCGCCUUUAGAGUUUGAUUCUGGCUCAGGACGAACGCCGGCGGCGUGCCUAAUACAUGCAAGUCGAGCGGACAGAUGGGAGCUUGCUCCCUGAUGUUAGCGGCGGACGGGUGAGUAACACGUGGGUAACCUGCCUGUAAGACUGGGAUAACUCCGGGAAACCGGGGCUAAUACCGGAUGGUUGUCUGAACCGCAUGGUUCAAACAUAAAAGGUGGCUUCGGCUACCACUUACAGAUGGACCCGCGGCGCAUUAGCUAGUUGGUGAGGUAACGGCUCACCAAGGCAACGAUGCGUAGCCGACCUGAGAGGGUGAUCGGCCACACUGGGACUGAGACACGGCCCAGACUCCUACGGGAGGCAGCAGUAGGGAAUCUUCCGCAAUGGACGAAAGUCUGACGGAGCAACGCCGCGUGAGUGAUGAAGGUUUUCGGAUCGUAAAGCUCUGUUGUUAGGGAAGAACAAGUACCGUUCGAAUAGGGCGGUACCUUGACGGUACCUAACCAGAAAGCCACGGCUAACUACGUGCCAGCAGCCGCGGUAAUACGUAGGUGGCAAGCGUUGUCCGGAAUUAUUGGGCGUAAAGGGCUCGCAGGCGGUUUCUUAAGUCUGAUGUGAAAGCCCCCGGCUCAACCGGGGAGGGUCAUUGGAAACUGGGGAACUUGAGUGCAGAAGAGGAGAGUGGAAUUCCACGUGUAGCGGUGAAAUGCGUAGAGAUGUGGAGGAACACCAGUGGCGAAGGCGACUCUCUGGUCUGUAACUGACGCUGAGGAGCGAAAGCGUGGGGAGCGAACAGGAUUAGAUACCCUGGUAGUCCACGCCGUAAACGAUGAGUGCUAAGUGUUAGGGGGUUUCCGCCCCUUAGUGCUGCAGCUAACGCAUUAAGCACUCCGCAGU